rnacentral:lncRNA from 1 species
CCACAAAUAACCGAGAAAAAUACAUGUUUUAUAUUGUAGUAAAAAGAAGCAUACAUUUUAUAAUCAGCAAGAACUUUAUAUGGUUAAUUACAGGGUAACCUACAAAUAAUACAAGUGAUUUAAGUGAAUCCAUACAUCGGUGAUUUGAUUGGAGCCACGUAAGCAUCCCUGCUUGGUGACAAGCAAGAAGAACAAAUAUGCUUUUUUCAGUACAUCAGCGGACACUGAAUUAUGUUCCGAAGCAAACUCUGCAAUACAAGCGAGGGAAGAACAAAAUAAUCACUGCCGUUCUCUCUAUCAGGCAAGAUAAACAUGUCAUCAAGGACAACAGAGAUGAAGAAGUCACAUUUACAUGUUGUAUAAUGUCCUUUUACCAUAGAAGUCCAUCAUGCCAAUAUGUAGCCUGUCUGGGCACGUCGGUUGGACAAUAGUCAACAACACACUCAUAUCAAGUUUAUCAUCUGUCAUCCCACCCGUGUACUCCUCCGAUCUCGCUUCGUUUGUUAUCCAAGAAAAUUGUCGUCACAAUGCACAAAUAGAACACUUGCCUUUAUCCUGGAAGGAAACAGAAAAAUGUAUAAGUAUGUUACACACAGGUAUGGCUCAUGAAUAUAUAGUAACCAAUGCAACAUCUUGCACUCGAUUUGGUGACACGAUUUGUAAGUUAGUGUAUUUAUAUUUCUUUCUUUUCUUCCACUUUCUCUAACAUAUAACACUGGGAUACCAAUUCAACAUAGUUGCUAUAUCUACGACUGAAAUGGUCUGUGAAAUCUCCUUCUUUAUAACUAUACUUCAUUAUAUAAAGUAGGAACAUGUGAGCUGGGUUAAAAACUAAGUAUUUGUUUAUGGCUUUCUCCUGAACUGUUAACAGACAGUGAAUUCGUGAAGAAAUAGAAAACUGAAAGAAUCAUUAUUCUCCUGAACUGUUAACGCCUAAAUGGUUCAAACAGUUUAGACAUUUUUACCAAGCAUGAAAAGACCCUAAACCCAGGAUCCCAAUUGAUAGCAAAACAACCUCUCAAUAGAUAGAUGUAUCGGCCAGUAUAAUAACUGAAAAGCAAAGAGAAGAAAUCAUCACCAUGCCAUCUGGGUAAGAACCGCAUAUAACAUGGUAAGAAAUCAUGAACCUUCCGCAUUUUUAUCACCAGAACAUCACCCAAGUGCUUCCAUCGAUCAUACCAAGGCAAAUAGGGUGCCCGCAGCGGCAGAACGUGGCUAGCACGCACAUGAGGUUAACACCAAAGAGAUAUACACAAACUCUCGCCACAUCCUAGGGCGUGGUCAGGUGUUUAUAUUACUAACCUUGCUCCUCUCAAUUGUUCCAAUAUAAGAAGAAGCAAUAUAAUCUCCUCCACAAAGAUCCCAAUAUAUUACUUCACCCAGACCAAAUCACGGCAAUGCAUAAUAGCACAACGUUCUAUGCUUCUUAAAAGUUAAAUCCCCUUUAUAGGUUCCAAAUUCAUAGAGGAAUUUCUAGCGGAGUCCAUCUCACCGAGAUCUGCCAAGGCCGUAUGGGGCAAGAUAAGCCAUACAGGCUUGACCAUAUGUGCACGGGAGUAGGGAAUAUGUCGAGGGCGCGGUGGCGUACCUGUCUUGUUGGCGCGGCCGUGGGUGGAGACGGCGGCCAUGGCGUGGUUCCCCAGGAAGAUGACCUUCUUCCGCCACAAUACCAUCACCGUGCAUGGGCUCCAGCAUCCUCACGGCGGCACCCUGCCUCGACGACCCCCUCUUGCUCUUCCUUCCACCAUCAUGGUGAUGGUGUUCGUGGAGGGCAUCGGGUGGCGGGGUAGCAGCAGGGAAGCAGCGGCGGGUGAGAACCAUAGCUAGGUUAGGGGAAGAAAUUGGGAGGGGCGUGGCCAGGGAAGGAACGCGAUGGAGGCAAUCUCGUACCACGGCUCGGCGGCGAUCCCACAGCGGCGAGAUUGUACGUUGGAGGCGAUGAAGGGGAUCGAGGGGAGCGGAGGGGAACCUGAUGCAGGGGACGGCCGUGCGCCGCUCCUCGCUGCCCGCAACGCGACCACACCCUGACUUUUCCCGGGGUUCCGCGGCAACGGCGGUAGCGGCCAGAAGUCGGAGGUCUCUGAUCUCGACAGAGGCGGCAAAUGGGAGUGGAGGGAACCAGAUGGUGGCGGAGGAGGAAGCCCCGGGGUUAGGAUCUGUCGCGGCACAGGGAUGGAUCGGCCGCGGCGGGGGCGAAGGGGCGGAUCACGCGUGCGUAGGGCUGGUUGGCGGCGGAGAACGAUCUGCUGUGGGCACGAGGGAUCGAUCUUAGGGUUUUUUUGGCACUGUUUUUUUUUCGCAGGAGGGUAGCGAGUUAACGGAGGUGGGAGGAUGACGAAAAUAAAACGGAGGUGGGAGGAUGACGAAAAAAACCAGCAAAAAUAAACCGCGCAAACUAUUCACCAACUGCUCCAUUAGGAGUAGAGAUUAAAUGAAUUUCUUCUCAAAUUCAGAAUGAGGAUCGGGUGGUGGAUGCAUACAAGUAGCAAGAUUUUUAAGCUGGGGAUUUCUCUAAGAAAUGUGGUGAUCUGGAGUUUCGUAAGAUCGCUCGUCUACACUAUUGCACUUCAUGGUUAAAAGAAAAAAACUUUGAAAGAAUAGAUAUUAGUUCAUACAUUCAAGCAUGAGGCAGCCUUCUAAAGAUUGAGUGUCAAUUUGACGUUUGACUGAGAAUCAAUUGGACAUCAGUCAAGUCUAAAAUUUACAGUAGCAACAAAAAAUACUGAAAUUACUAUUAUCAAGACAAGCACAUGUGCACAACAAGGUUUCUGACACAAAGAUAGAUUUUGUAUAUAUUGACAGCGUGAAUAGAUGCAACACUACCUAACAUAGACAUUGUGAUUUACAGUCUAAUGACCACUGUAAUUUUACUGAAAUUACACUGUUUUUACAUUUAAUUGCACUGACUGUAAAUAGUGUAAAUAUUCUAGUAAAAAUGCACUGUGAUUACCCAUGGAAAUUACACUAUAACAACACUGUAAAUUAUAGUUAAAUUGCACUGUAAUUACAGUAACAUAGUAGUGGGAUUUACAGAGUACUUACCCUGAAAAUUACACUGCAAUUACAAGUACACUGUAAGAACACUAUGAUUACUCUGUAAUUUCAGAGGAAAUUACACUAUAACUAAAAUGAGAUUACAAUCUUGGAGCUGCUAUAAACUUAGAUGCAACACUACAGAAAACAUAGGAAAAAAGGUUAUAAGAUUGAUACAAAUACUACCCAACAAAGACAAACCACAAAGAACAAGGUUCUACAAUGCUUGAAGACCCAACNNNNNNNNNNNNNNNNNNNNNNNNNNNNNNNNNNNNNNNNNNNNNNNNNNNNNNNNNNNNNNNNNNNNNNNNNNNNNNNNNNNNNNNNNNNNNNNNNNNNNNNNNNNNNNNNNNNNNNNNNNNNNNNNNNNNNNNNNNNNNNNNNNNNNNNNNNNNNNNNNNNNNNNNNNNNNNNNNNNNNNNNNNNNNNNNNNNNNNNNNNNNNNNNNNNNNNNNNNNNNNNNNNNNNNNNNNNNNNNNNNNNNNNNNNNNNNNNNNNNNNNNNNNNNNNNNNNNNNNNNNNNNNNNNNNNNNGUGCUUUAAUUGCAUUGAAAAUUUCAUUGUAAUCUCGUGUAAUUAACUUAAAAAUACACUGAAAAUAGCACUAUAAUAACCGUAAGUUACAUUGUAAUUGCAGUGAGUGUAAACUAAAAAUCACAGAAGUUACAGCAAAAAUUGCACUGUGGUUAACUCUGGAAAUUACAGUGUCACUACUCUGUGAUUUGAGAGGAAAUUCCACUAAAAUUGAACAAUUAUUGCUGUAACUUAGAUGCAACUACUACCUACAAACACACACCCCUGCAUCUAACAGCAAAAAGGCCAGCAGAAUCCAACGCCCAGGCUAGCAGAAAGAAAACCAACAGAGGAAUCGGAUCCACCGCUACAUCCAUGCUACUACCACUGUAACUGCAAAAAAGUCGCCAGGAAAAUCCACCUCUACGACUAACAUACACCUACAUCUAAAUCAAAUACAAGGGGAAUCGAAUCAAACCAAAAGAUCUAGACGAAAUUCAAGGGGGAAAGGGAGAAGACCAGGAUAACCAACUGAAAUCACACGACACUGGAACGGAAAUCAAGCUGAAGAGGAGGAGGAGGAGAUCGGAAUCACCAUGGAUGACGAGGAAAUCGCCAAGAAUCGACUCCCUUUCUCAGCUUCAACUCUCGCCACGAAAUGUGAAAGGACAAGAAUCAAAAUUUUAAAAAAAGAUAAAGAGAGAGCCAGGGCCCAAGGGAUGGGCAGUAACGGGCUAGCUGGGAAACGAAAGCGCACCCAGUAACAGAGAGAAAAAAAUCACAAGGAAAAGCCAGCUCCCAGCGCGGAUCUAAGCAUGAGAUCAAACAGACAAAAAUUUGAAUGAAAACCAAUUGUAAAUCACUCGACUGUAAAUUAGCAAAACCGUUUUUUUAUCUGGCCAAUUUACAACAAAAGUCUCCCGUUUCACUACUUACGAAAUUACAACAGAAAUCAAAAUUUCUGAUUCAAGUCAUAAGUCUAUGCAGCGGCGAGCAAAGGGAAUCCGAUGACAAAAAGAAAUGGCACCUCCCCGCUUUCAUUCUCAUUUUAUGAUCCCCGCAUACAAAACUAAAAAAUAAACAAAGCCGGACAAAACCAACAGAUAAAAAACUGUGAUCGAGCAAGGAUAAAUGAAAACAAAUCACGAACUCUCAAAACCCUAAGAUGUGUUCUGUAGUAAUAAUCACAUAUGAUGGAAAACCGGGAAAAAUUAUAAGGUCAGUGUAUAAUUUGAAAACAAGAGAUAUUUACAAUAUAUAAUAUAUAGUUUGAAAAUAUGGGAUAUUUUCAAGAUAUAGUAAAUGAGAUAAAGCAGCAGUAUUCGGUCCAACUGUAAGGUUCUAAAAAAGGGUUUCCCAUGGUUGAUCGAUGUGUACUCACUGAGAAUAAAAAUUGAGCAAAGGGAACCUUUUCUCCAUGUUGUGCAAAGUAUGCUCCUGAUGCACGAGAAUACAAAGCAAGACAGUACUCCAUUUUCUCAUAAACAUCUUUAAAGAAGUGAGUUGAAACUGGGUCUAUUGUUACUUCAACACUAAUCACAGGGCAAUAUCGAAAGUAUCAUGCAAAUAGGCUUGAAUCAACAGUUGCAGACAUGAAGUUAAAGCAACAAGAAAUAAAUUUGCAGAUCUCAUAAUAAUCGAUGCAACAAGAAAAUGGAAAUAUAAAAAGGAAAGAAAUAAUAUAUAAGAGAAUGGACACUACAUGAGAAUCACUUUCAGCUUUCUUCCUGGUUGAUUAGAGCGUUUUCAACAAGACUCUUAAGAUUUAAGAACAAUCAGCAAAAAGUUGCUCUGAAAGCCGCAAAUCAGGAUUAACCAUGUGCUUCAUCUAUCAUAUAGAGAGAAAAAAGACAUUUUGUAGCACAUAAAGAAAAAACAUACACGAGCAAGUACAUACCAAAAUAGUGCGUUCAUGUACUUCAUCUACUAUAACAUGAGUAACAUCACUUAAGUCUUUGUUUCCCAGAAAAGUGUGAAGUGUGUAAGAAAGAAUCCUCAACAACUAUUAAGUAAUCGAAGAAAGCAAAUUAACAAAAUAUAAAGAAAAAAAUAGUGUUAUUUUUACGUAGCUGAAACUUAAAGCCUCAAAUAUAGGAUCCACACAGCCCAAAUGAAAAACAAAACUAUAUAAGUAGAACAUGUUAUCAUGUUAGUUUGGCACAUAGUUAGGCAUAUUACCAGUAAGUUUCAGAUAUUGUCCUAGGCACGGUUAGGUAUGCCCGCGAAAUGGUUAUCUGUACUCGAAAAUGGAGUAUUAACAUAUUGUGAAUUGCAUUAACUCUUUCAUACACGCAAGUAGCAUGCAACAACUCAAAUUUUGCAAACAUUUUGCAAACAGAUGACCAGCCAUGUUCUUUACCUAAUUUGGAGAGUUAGUUCCUUCUAUCAGGACACUUGAGUCCACAUCAAUUAACUUGAGUUCAUUAACAUGUUUACAUACACUUGUAGAUGGUGCCCCACAAAUAACCGAGAAAAAUACAUGUUUUAUAUUGUAGUAAAAAGAAGCAUACAUUUUAUAAUCAGCAAGAACUUUAUAUGGUUAAUUACAGGGUAACCUACAAAUAAUACAAGCGAUUUAAGUGAAUCCAUACAUCGGUGAUUUGAUUGGAGCCACGUAAGCAUCCCUGCUUGGUGACAAGCAAGAAGAACAAAUAUGCUUUUUUCAGUACAUCAGCGGACACUGAAUUAUGUUCCGAAGCAAACCCGACAAUACAAGCGAGGGAAGAACAAAAUAAUCAUUGUCGUUCUCUCUAUCAGGCAAGAUAAACAUGUCAUCAAGGACAACAGAGAUGAAGAAGUCACAUUUACAUGCUGCAUAAUGUCCUUUUACCAUAGAAGUCCAUCAUGCCAAUAUGUAGCCUGUCUAGGCACGUCGGUUGGACGAUGGUCAACAACACACUCGUAUCAAGUUUAUCAUCUGUCAUCCCACUCGUGUACUCCUCCGAUCUCGCUUCGUUUGUUAUCCAAGAAAAUUGUCGUCACAAUGCACAAAUAGAACACUUGCCUUUAUCCUGGAAGGAAACAGAAAAAUGUAUAAGUAUGUUACACACAGGUAUGG